rnacentral:rRNA from 1 species
AGAGUUUGAUCCUGGCUCAGAACGAACGCUGGCGGCGUGCUUAACACAUGCAAGUCGCGUGCGCAGUCUGUAGCAAUACAGGCCGGCGCACGGCGCACGGGUGCGUAACACGUGGGCAAUCUGCCCUCUGAUGGGGAAUAACCCCGCGAAAGCGGGGCUAAUUCCGCAUAAAAUUCCGAGUACUUCGGUUCUUGGAUUCAAAGCAGUAAUGCGUCAGAGGAGGAGCCCGCGCCCGAUUAGCUAGUUGGUGAGGUAACGGCUCACCAAGGCAAUGAUCGGUAGCUGGUCUGAGAGGAUGAUCAGCCACACUGGAACUGAGACACGGUCCAGACUCCUACGGGAGGCAGCAGUGGGGAAUCUUGCACAAUGGGCGAAAGCCUGAUGCAGCGACGCCGCGUGGGGGAUGAAGCUUUUCGGAGUGUAAACCCCUUUCGACUGGGACGAAAACCCGCAAGGGAUUGACGGUACCAGUAUAAGAAGCCCCGGCUAACUACGUGCCAGCAGCCGCGGUAAGACGUAGGGGGCCAGCGUUGUUCGGAAUUACUGGGUGUAAAGGGUUCGUAGGCGGUGCGGCAAGUUGGGAGUGAAAUCUCUGGGCUUAACCCAGAGGCUGCUUCCAAAACUGCUGUGCUUGAGUGUGAGAGAGGCUCGUGGAAUUGCAGGUGUAGCGGUGAAAUGCGUAGAUAUCUGCAGGAACACCCGUGGCGAAAGCGGCGAGCUGGAUCACUACUGACGCUGAGGAACGAAAGCUAGGGGAGCAAACAGGAUUAGAUACCCUGGUAGUCCUAGCCC